CAGUAGCCGCGGGAAUACGUAGGGUGCAAGCGUCAAUCGGAAUUACUGGGCGUAAAGCGUGCGCAGGCGGUUAUAUAAGACAGAUGUGAAAUCCCCGGGCUCAACCUGGGAACUGCAUUUGUGACUGUAUAGCUAGAGUACGGCAGAGGGGGAUGGAAUUCCGCGUGUAGCAGUGAAAUGCGUAGAUAUGCGGAGGAACACCGAUGGCGAAGGCAAUCCCCUGGGCCUGUACUGACGCUCAUGCACGAAAGCGUGGGGAGCAAACAGGAUUAGAUACCCGUGUAGUCCCUGUCUCUUAUAC
rnacentral:rRNA from 1 species